rnacentral:rRNA from 1 species
UACGUAGGGUGCGAGCGUUAAUCGGGAUUACUGGGCGUAAAGCGUGCGCAGGUGGUUUGUUAAGUCAGAUGUGAAAGCCCCGAGCUUAACUUGGGAACUGCGUUUGAAACUGGCAAGCUAGAGUCUGUCAGAGGGGGGUAGAAUUCCACGUGUAGCAGUGAAAUGCGUAGAGAUGUGGAGGAAUACCAAUGGCGAAGGCAGCCCCCUGGGAUAAGACUGACGCUCAUGCACGAAAGCGUGGGGGAGCAAACAGGAUUAGAUACCCUGGUAGUCCACGCCCUAAACGAUGUCAACUGGUUGUUGGGCAACUUGAUUGUUCAGUAACGAAGCUAACGCGAGAAGUUGACCGCCUGGGGAGUACGGUCGCAAGAUUAAAACUCA